rnacentral:rRNA from 1 species
UACAGAGGUCUCAAGCGUUGUUCGGAUUCAUUGGGCGUAAAGGGCGCGUAGGCUGCGGGGCAAGUCGGGUGUGAAAUCUCAGAGCUCAACUCUGAAACUGCACUCGAUACUGCUUUGCUUGAGGACUGGAGAGGAGAUUGGAAUUCACGGUGUAGCAGUGAAAUGCGUAGAUAUCGAGAGGAACACCAGUGGCGAAGGCGAGUCCCUGGACAACUCCUGACGCUGAGGCACGAAAGCUAGGGGAGCAAACAGG